UACGUAGGGUCCGAGCGUUGUCCGGAAUUAUUGGGCGUAAAGGGCUCGUAGGCGGUCUGUCGCGUCGGGAGUGAAAUCUUACAGCUUAACUGUGAACUUGCCUUCGAUACGGGCAGACUUGAGGCAUUCAGGGGAGAACGGAAUUCCUGGUGUAGCGGUGAAAUGCGCAGAUAUCAGGAGGAACACCGGUGGCGAAGGCGGUUCUCUGGGCCUUACCUGACGCUCAAACACGAAAGCUAGGGGAGCGAACGGG
rnacentral:rRNA from 1 species